UACGUAGGGGGGCAAGCGUUGUCUGGAUUUAUUGGGCGUAAAGAGCGUGUAGGCGGCCUUACAGGUCAGCUGUGAAAACUCGAGGCUCAACCUCGAGACGUCGGUUGAAACCGUAAGGCUAGAGUCCGGAAGAGGAGAGUGGAAUUCCCGGUGUAGCGGUGAAAUGCGCAGAUAUCGGGAAGAACACCCGUGGCGAAGGCGGCUCUCUGGGACGGUACUGACGCUGAGACGCGAAAGCGUGGGGAGCGAACAGG
rnacentral:rRNA from 1 species